rnacentral:rRNA from 1 species
AGAAGCGAAGCGGUGACGNGGAGCAAACCUCAGAAAGCCAAUCUCAGUUCGGAUUGUAGGCUGCAACUCGCCUACAUGAAGUUGGAAUCGCUAGUAAUCGCGAAUCAGAAUGUCGCGGUGAAUACGUUCCCGGGUCUUGUACACACCGCCCGUCACACCACGAGAGUUUACAACACCCGAAGUCAGUGGCCUAACCGUAAGGAGGGAGCUGCCUAAGGUGGGGUAGAUGAUUGGGGUGAAGUCGUAACAAGGUACC